CUCUGUCUCUCCCUCUCUCUCUCUCUGCCUCUGUCUUUCUCUCUGCCUCCUCUUUUUGUCCCGGGAAUUUUAUUUUCGCAAAAGCAACAUUACACAGUAUUAAAGGAAAUUUUUAAAGGAGAAAAUUUGCUGAAGGCCCAAGGACAUGAGUCCAGCAGCGAUUUUCCUAUUUUCCGUAUUUUCUUCUGGCCUUGCCCGAUGGUAGCCACAUUGAUGAUGCCAGCUCUGGAGACGGCCUCGCCUCUGUACUGUGUGGUCUGCGUUUUCCACAGAGCUACAGCCUCACACCGACAGCCAUGGCCACACUCCUGUGUGGGCACACGGCUCGCGGCCAUCUUCCCGGUUUCAUCCACGCAGGCUGACAUGUUCGUGCUGUUCCUUGUCCUGGAGAAACGUCUCAGAGGUCCCCGGAGGGAGCUGGCAAAGGUGACAUCAGCAAGGAUUGGGUGUGGGGUAACCUGCCAGGGCCUUUUGGGAGAAUAACCUGACAUUGCCUGUCAUCAGAUGGAAUGCACGCGACCCUGGCUCAGCAAACUGCAAACAGCCUGGAGUCUGCCUGUGGGGAGCGGUCGACCAAUGACGCCUGAGUGGCUGCUGCCUGCGCCAGAGCUGCAGGGGAGGCUCGGUGCUGGGAAGAAUGCACGUUCCAGGGCCCUCUUUCAGCCUCUCUCAAGCCUGAAUUUGGGAAGACUGCGGCCAGUAAGGGCAGCCAACAGGGCCGCCCCCGCCCCCCGCCUCACAGCCCCCGACUCCCUGCCUUCUGGGAACUUCAGGUUUCAAAUUUUAAUUAAUUCAUUUUUUAAAAAUCCACAGGUAAAAAUGCUCCAUAAAAUGUUCCACAUGGUUUCCGGCGCGCGUGCGCUCUGUGAAAUGGCUCGAGAAGCGAUUAGCACGACCAUCCCUCACAUACUUACAUUUUUUUGUGGUGAGAACAUUUAAAGCCCACUCUUUCCAGUUCUUAAGUAUGCAUUAAUAGCUGUAAUCACCAUGUUGUACAUCAGAGCUCCAGAACUUACUCAUCUUAGAGCUGAAACUUUGUGCUCUCUGGCCGGCGUCUCUGCUGCCCCCUCCAGCCCCUGGUAAACACCCUACCGCUCUGGAUUUCAUGAGUUCAACUUGAAUUUUAGCGUCCACGUGUAAGUGAGAGCACGCAGUAUCUGUCUGUCUGUGCCUGGCUUAUUUCACUUGGCAUAAUGUCCUCCACGUUCAUCCAGGUUGUUGCAAAUGACUGAAUCUCAUUCUUUUUUGUUUUUUGAGACGGAGUCUUGCUCUGUCACCCAGGCACCAUCUCAGCUCACUGCAACCUCCGCCUCCCGGGUUCAAGCGAUUCUCCUGACUUAGCCUCUGAGUAGCUGGGAUUACAGGCAUGUGCCACCACGCCCGGCUGAUUUUUGUACCUUUAGUAGAGAUGGGGUCUCACCAUGUUGGCUGGUCUCGAACUCCUGACCUCAGGUGAUCUGCCCGCCUUGGCCUCCCAGAGUGCCGGGGUUACAAGCAUGAGCCACCGCGCCUGGCCUGAAUCUCAUUCAUUUCUAUGGCUGAGUAGUACUCCGCUGUGUAUCUACACUACAUAUGUAAAAUUCACUCAUCUGCCAUCGGACUCUUCCAUAUCUUGGCAGUUGUGGGCAGUGCAGCAGUGAACACGGGGGUGCUGAUGUCUCCCCGAGGUGCAGAGUCCACUUCCCUUGGGUGCCUCCCCAGCAGAGGGAUUGCUGGAUCCUAGGACAGUUGUAUUUUUAAUUUUUUGACGAACUGCCAUAGUGUUUUCCAUAAUGGCUGUACUAAUUUACAUUUCCACCAACACUGCACCAGGGUUCCUCUUGUCCACAUCCUCCCCAACGCUGGCUGGCUUUUGUGUUUUCAUAAUUGCCCUCCUAACAGGUGUGAGGCAAUAGCCCAUUUGGUUUUGAUUUCCAUUUCCCUGAUGAGUGCUGAUGGGACACUUUUGUCAUAUGCCUGUUUCCCAUUAUCCUGUCUUCUUCGGAGAAAUCUCUGUGGAGGUCUUUGACCUGCCUUAAAAUUGAGUUCCUUAUUUUCUUGCUGGUGAGUCCCACAUGUAUCUGGAUGUCCAUUCCUUAUCAAUGUAUGACUGGAAACAUUUUCUCCUGCCCGGAGGAAAUAUUUGUUUUCCUCUGCUUGUUUCCUUUGCUGUGCUGAAGCUGUUUAAUCUGAUGCUGUCUCGCGUGUGUGCGUUUGUGCUGCCUUUGUUUUGAUGUCAUAUUUCCAGGGAUUUCUUAAAAGUGCACCUGCACUCACCGUUGAUGGGAACGCAUGACGGUGCGGCCACUGUGGAAAGCAUUAGGGCUGUUUCUCAAAAAAUUAAAAAUUAAAUUCCA